GGGACGGGGCAUCCACAGCCUCUCUGGGCAGCCUGUUCCAGCACCUCACCACGCUCUUGGUACUGGAAGGCUGCAGGGUGACAUCACUGCUCUCAGGGUCAGGGUGAUGCCCCAGCUCUCAGCCUGUCCUCACAGAGGAGGUGCUCCAGCCCUCUCAUCAUCUUUGUGGCCCUCUUCUGGACCCUCUCUAACAGCUCCCUGUCUUUCUUGUAUUGGGGGCCCCAGACCUGGAUGCAGUACUCCAGAGGGGGAGUCCGUCCACGAGCCAAAUUUAGAAAAUCUAUUAGCCCUGCAAGUGUGAAGGAAAGAAUGUAAAAUUUAUUACAGAUGAAGGAGUAAAUCAUUUUUUCCUCCUCCACAAUAACAAUAAAUCGCACUUAAAACAUU